rnacentral:lncRNA from 1 species
UCUCUACUUAGUAAUGUCCUCUGUUACUAUACAUUAUAGGUGGUGGUGUUUUGUUAAAUUGUGAGAGGAAUUUCAGCAGUGUUUAUCUAUCCACCUGGAAGAUAAUCGACAAGAAAGAGAUAAGCUUCAACGGUGAGUUUGCUAUGCGUUGCUUUUAUUUUUGUAUCAUGGUUCAAGUGGCCGCCAUGGUUAUGUAAAUAUCAUAGAUAAGUAUGUAUCUAGGUUAUUUUUGCACCAUGGUUCAAGUGGUAGCCAUGGCUAUAUAAAUACUAUAGAUGAGCAUGUAUCUAGGUAGUGAAUAUGGAGAAUAGGUUGGGGAAUGGCUUGUUCCAUUCCAUUUGUUGCUGUGGUGAUGGCUUGGAGCCGAUUAUGUGAUGUGUGUUUGUGUAAGAAAUAGGCACAAGUGUUGGCGCCAAGCUUUAUCCUAAUAUCAUUGAGUACAAGAUCAAAAUACCAUUUUAUUUAAGUGUAUGGUAAAAGCAUGGAAUAGAUCAUNGGUGGUGGUGUUUUGUUAAAUUGUGAGAGGAAUUUCAGCAGUGUUUAUCUAUCCACCUGGAAGAUAAUCGACAAGAAAGAGAUAAGCUUCAACGGUGAGUUUAUUUUUGUAUCAUGGUUCAAGUGGCCGCCAUGGUUAUGUAAAUAUCAUAGAUAAGCAUGUAUCUAGGUUAUUUUUGCACCAUGGUUCAAGUGGUAGCCAUGGCUAUAUAAAUACUAUAGAUGAGCAUGUAUCUAGGUAGUGAAUAUGGAGAAUAGGU